rnacentral:snoRNA from 1 species
AUUUGAUGAUGUGGACAUUGUAUCUGCAACUCCCCAAAUCUUUCCCAAGCUUCGAAGAAUUCCUUCGUAUGCUUUUGUCUAAAAGUUUGGAUCUUGUUUCUCAACUC